rnacentral:lncRNA from 1 species
UUGCGUUGAAAAGCUAAAUCAAACAAUUUCCGUACGGAACUAACUUAAUUAAAUUAGUUUCUUACAAAAUGUGUCGGACAUUUUGAAUCUUUCAUUAUGAUUAAAAAUUAGAGUUUCUUAUUAAUCUUAAAUUAUGUAAUAAAGGUUUAGAAAAAAUAAAAGAAAUUUGUUUUUAGUAUUAUAUUGUGGCUAAUGAAGGAGUUAAAAAGUCCUUCCAGUCAGUUGCAACAACAAUUAAAGCAGCAGGAAACAGCCAAGUACACAUGCAAGUGAUUGUUAUGAAGGUUGCAAAACUUUUAAAUAUCAGAAACUGAAGAAAGUAUUGAUAAUCAGCAGAUAUCAAAAAAGUGCAGAAGUACUGAUUAUACAACUCUUUUUAAGUUGAGGAAGAAUUUUAUGUUAAUGUUAAUGCAAAAGGUACGAAUAUUGACAGUUAAACCAUCACCACUUCCACAGCCACCUUGUCUCAAGCAUUAAAUCGCAUUCUAAGAUAUCUUUAUUCAAAUUAAGUGUGACUACUUUACCAAAAGACUCAAGAAUGGACCAAUCAACUAACCAUCAGUACUUGCAAAGUCUCCUUUUCUGUAAGCCCAAAAAUUGAGUUCUAAAAUACCAUUAUCCACAUAACUACUAUAUCAAAGUACAAUCUAAUGGAUUGAUCAAUGAAACUGUCGGUAUCUCCACAACUUUUCAAUUAAAUAAAAAGUUUCAAUUAAACAGGAUACUAAGUGUGCCUACUGCUCCUCAAGACAAUGAAUAAUGGGAGUUAUCAAACUUAUACAUACAUAUAUAUAUAUGUUGUACAGAUAUUGUUAUA